CGCGAGGCCGAGCCGGCCGUGAGGAGGUAGUGCGGGGCCGCGCGAUGCUCCAACGCCGCAGGGCAGCUCCGGGCUCCGAGCGCCGCUUCAGCUUCUACAAGUCAGCUCGUGUUGGAAGUUGGUGGUGUCACUGUAUGAAUGAAGGUCAGUUCAGGAGCAGCUGCUGAUGGAAGGAAUGAAGUCCACGGUAAUGAGCUGAAUCAUCUCCUGGUCAUCUGGUCCAACCUCCCUGCAGUGAACUGGGACCCUACGCUGGGUCAGGCGCUCAGAGCCUGCUCCAGCCUCUCCCUGAAUGCCUCCAAGGAUUGAGCUUCCACCACCUCCCUGGGCAACAUGUGCCAAUGCCUCACCGCUCUUGUCAUGAAAGACUUUUUCCUUUAAUGCAAUCUAAAUCUCCCCUCUCUUACUCGGACACUAUUUCCCCUUUCGUUACAACAGUUCCACCAGGGAGGCCAGCUCUGGCACAGCGGGGCACCCUGCCACGGCUUUGGGCAGAGUGGUGGAGAUGCAGCCCAGGGCGAGGAGGGCGAGGCUGAGGAGGAAGAAGCGCAUGGGGUGUGCAGGCGGUGGUCGAGGGCUGCGGCUGUGCUGAUGAGGCCAUUGCCCAGGCCAUUUUGUCCAGAUCUCAAGGCAAGGCCUCUUUAUCCUCAAGGAGGUCUAAACUCCUCCCAGCUUAGCAUCAUCCACAAACUGAUUGAUACAACCAACAGAUCUUUAGUGGAACCAACAGUAAAAACAAGAUAGAGAAAUGGCCUUAAAAUGGAGCCCAGCAGAAUUCAACAGGUUCAUCAGACACACAGGGCAACUGUCAGGACAAAGUCACCGAAUCCUCCAGUGCAGCCAUGUUUUAGUUGUCAAGAGACAUUC